rnacentral:lncRNA from 1 species
UGUAUGCAAAAUAAAAGCAUUUUUCAGUGGAUAAAAAAGUAGAAUAAAUUCUAAAUUAAAUGUUAGAAAUAAAUAAAAUGGCAGGAAAAAUCAUAUUCCUGAAACAACACUGAAUUAAACAGUCUAAACUCUCCAAUUAAGACAGAUUGGCUGGCUGGAGUUGGGGCUCAGUGGUAGAGUGCUUGCCUAGCAUGUGUGAGGCACUGGGUUUGAUUCAAGCAAUUAAAUAAAUAAAGGUCCAUCAAUAAUUAGUAAAAAUAUUUAUAAAAAGACAUAGAUUGGCAUAUGGGAUUAAAAAACAAGACCCAAUAAUAUGCUAUUUGCAAGAGACACAUCUUACAGACAAAGACAUCCACAGACUUAAAAUAAAAUGAUGAGAAAGGAUAUACCAUGUAAAUUGUAGCUAGAAGUGAGCAGGGAACUACUUUCAUAUGAGAUAAAGUGAACUUCAAAGGAUCAAUGAAACAAAGAUUUGGUUUCCUUUUUUUGAAAGUACACAUAAGAUUGAUAAACCAUAGCCAAACUUAGGCAGUGUAGACCUAAAUUAACUAAACUAAAGAUGAAAAAAGAGAUAUUAUUACAAAUACUACAGGCAAAGAUGAUGCAUAAAACCUAUUCGGGUAAGCUAAAACAUCUUGAAUUUAUUGACAAAUUCCUAAAGACAUAUGACCUACCCCAAUUGAACCAUGAGGAUAUAGACAAUUGAAGAAUAUUAAUAUCAAGUAACUAAAUUGAAGCAACUAUUAAAAGCUUUCAAACAAAGAAAAGCUCAG